GACGAACGCUGGCGGCGUGCCUAAUACAUGCAAGUAGGACGCAGUUGCGAACGGGUGAGUAACGCGUAGGUAACUGCCUAGUAGAGGGGGAUAACUAUUGGAAACGAUAGCUAAUACCGCAUACUAGUAGAUGGACCUGCGUUGUAUUAGCUAGUAGGUAGGGUAAUGGCCUACCUAGGAGACGGGACAUAGCCGACCUGAGAGGGUGAUCGGCCACACUGGGACUGAGACGCGGCCCAGACUCCUACGGGAGGCAGCAGUAGGGAAUCUUCGGCAAUGGGGGGAACCCUGACCGAGCAACGCCGCGUUUAUGAAGAAGGCCUUCGGGUUGUAAAGCUCUGUUGUGAAGGAAGCGGUACUUAACCAGAAAGGGACGGCUAACUACGUGCCAGCAGCCGCGGUAAUAC
rnacentral:rRNA from 1 species